rnacentral:lncRNA from 1 species
AGGAUUCUAAUUAUAAUUUAUUUUUAAAAUUUUAAAUUUGGAUUCUAUUAUUUAUCCGCCGCAUCGCACGGAUCUCUACACUAGUAUAUACUAGAGUCCGAUAAAUUCAUCUCGUGUUUUUGUAUAGGGGUGGCAAUCCAGCUCGCUGUUCGUGAGCCAGCUCGUGUUUGGCUCGAGAUCGAAUCGUUCAUUUAGUAAACCAGCCAAAUAUGAGCUAAAUUUUUUAGCUCGUUUAAUAAACAAGCUGGGGUCAGCUCGCUUGUAUUCGACUCGAUAACGGCUCGAAUAUAUAUUAUAUAUAUUUUAUAUUUAUAUAAUUUAUAUAAUUUAUUUUUGUAUAUAUAAAUAAAUAAUUAUAUAUAUAUAUAUAAUUUUAUUUUUAACAAAAUAAAAAUAUAAAGUCGAGCUCAAUGGUAAAAAGACUCCAACCAUUUGAUCAUUUAAUAUGUAAUAUUUUAUAAAUUUAAUUUUUAUAUAUAUCCAAUCUAAUUCUUUUAAUUUAUUAUUCAUUGGCCGGCUCGUGAGCCGAUUCGUGUUCGGCUUAUUUUUUAAUAAGCCGAACACGAUUUGAAUUUUCCGGCUCGAUACUUUAAUGAACUGAACACGAGCUGGUCCAGCUCGUUCGUGUACUGCUAGCUGACACUCCUAGGGAUGUCAACGAGUUAGGUUUGAGUCGGAUUUUCAAAAACCCGAAUCCCAACCCAAAAACUAAAUUAAAACUCUAAUCCGGACCCGAAUCAGGUGGGUUUUAAAAAUCCAUAUCCAUACUAAAAAUCCGAAACCUAAACCGGGACCGAACGAGAAAAAAUAUUAAAUAUUUUAUAUAUUAUAUAAAUAUAUAAAAAUAAAUUAUUUAUAUAUAUAAUUUAUUCAGGUCCGGAUUCGAGUUCGGAUUCAGGUUCGAAUCGGGUAAAUAUAAAAUUCAUAUCCGUAUUCAUAUUCGUCUGAUUUUUAUUAUUUAUACCCAUAAUUAAAUUUAUACCCAUUUAGCUCGAGUAAAUCUGUCCUCUUCGGAUUCUAAUAGUAUUCUUUCGGAUUCUAAUAAUAUUUAGAAUAUC